AUGUCCGUGGCAGAGACUCAAGAAGAGAACUCGAGCGAAAUGUCCCAACCAAGCACCAGCGUGGAGGUUGGUAGCCGUACCUGGAAGAUUUUUUCAAAAUGUUUGGAUGCAAAAACAACUCCUUUCGGAUGCACUGCAAGCUGCGCACCCAAGUACCAUGAGCUAAUGGCUUUCAAAAACUCACUGUCUAAUUUGAAAAAGCAUAUUAAGAAGAAACACCCCACUCGUCUAGAGAGGUACACGAAACUUACUUCAGCAGCCCUCAGAAGGAAGUCAUCCACUGAAGGUUCUUUGGCCCACCCUCCAAAAAAACCAAGCUGUGGGAGACUUGAAGAGUGUCCCAGGCUUUGACUAUACCAGAAGCCACUUGUACUGUCAGGCCGAGAAUUACAUCAGUGAGGGCUCCCAAUCAUCUGAGGAAGAGGACUUCUUUUCCUCCUUGAUGACCCAGCAGUUGGAUGCAUACCUGGGGUGCCCAGGAGACAGCUGUGUGCCAGCUAUCACUUAAGCUUAAUAUGGCACUCCCUGCCUCAGCAGCCUGUGAAAGACUGUUUAGUGUUGCACAGCUGAUCUUCAGGCCAAGAAGAGCAUGUAUUGGCUCAAAGAACUUUGAGAACCAGCUGCUUUUGCGGCUGAACAAAGCCUGUCGGUAACUCUGUUGCAUGUUCAGUGCUUAACUGAUGUAGAUUACCCUGUUAUUGUACAUACAGGAUUGAGUCCAAAGUGUUUGCUACAUCUUCUAGUUAAAUGUGACAUUGUUGCCAUUAGCUAUAGAAUUGAGCAUAGUACAUACCAGGAAGGUAUCAGGAUUAUGAGUUAUUUUAAUUUUUUGAUUAAUCACUUGGAUUAAUCAUUCAUUUUGACAGCACUAAUGUUUAUUGUAUAUAGACAACCAUACAAGGGUAAUUGUUACUAAGCCUGCCCUGGGUACACAAACGUUGUUGUCUGUUGCCCUCACAGAUUCCUGCAGCUAAGCUUGGAUGUACAUUUGCAUUCCAAUAAAGGUUAUUGAAGACAUGCCUCUGAAGUUUGACUUUUUGCACCAUUACAUACUUACAUACAUACUUAUAGGCAACUAGUCAUCCUAUCUUCCACUCCAUGAAACACGUUAAUGCUCAGUAGUACACAUAUAUGGUUCUUAAAAGUUUUUGCAUUGUACUAAAAUGUGUUUAUUUUCAAUGGACAUAUAUGCAGCUAAUUUCAAGAUCAAAGAC
ensembl:lncRNA